rnacentral:rRNA from 1 species
UACGUAGGGGGCAAGCGUUGUCCGGAUUUAUUGGGCGUAAAGAGCGUGUAGGCGGCCAGACAGGUCAGCUGUGAAAACUCGAGGCUCAACCUCGAGACGUCGGUUGAAACCGUCUGGCUAGAGUCCGGAAGAGGAGAGUGGAAUUCCCGGUGUAGCGGUGAAAUGCGCAGAUAUCGGGAAGAACACCCGUGGCGAAGGCGGCUCUCUGGGACGGUACUGACGCUGAGACGCGAAAGCGUGGGUAGCAAACAGG